GACGAACGCUGGCGGCGUGCUUAACACAUGCAAGUCGAACGAAGUGGCGAACGGGUGAGUAACGCGUAAUCAACCUGCCCUUCAGAGGGGGACAACAGUUGGAAACGACUGCUAAUACCGCAUACUGAAGGAGGGGAUUGCGUCUGAUUAGCUGGUUGAAGGGGUAACGGCCCACCAAGGGGAUGAUCAGUAGCCGGUCGUAGAGUGUGACCAUCCACGUUGGGACUGAGACACGGCCCAGACUCCUCCGUUUGCCGCCCCUAUUUCCUCUUCCUCACUCUACAAAAGUCUGACCCCACAACGCCGCGUGAGUGAUGACUUCCUUCAUGUUCUCCAGCUCUGUUAAUCGGGACGCGGUACCGGAAUAGAAAGCCACGGCUAACUACGUGCCAGCAGCCGCGGUAAUAC
rnacentral:rRNA from 1 species